UGCGUUUCGGCUUGAAGGGUGGGGCAGCU
rnacentral:sRNA from 1 species